UACGGAGGGUGCAAGCGUUGUUCGGAAUUACUGGGCGUAAAGGGCGCGUAGGCGGCCUUCUAAGUCGAACGUGAAAUCCCUGGGCUCAACCCAGGAACUGCGUCCGAUACUGGCAGGCUUGAAUCCGGGAGAGGGAUGCGGAAUUCCAGGUGUAGCGGUGAAAUGCGUAGAUAUCUGGAGGAACACCGGUGGCGAAGGCGGCAUCCUGGACCGGCAUUGACACUGAGGCGCGAAAGCCAGGGGAGCAAACGGG
rnacentral:rRNA from 1 species